GAUAAAGUGGCUGAAUUAAAGGUUGUAAAUUGUAAAUUUGCUUAUGGAUUAAUUAUCCUUUUAUCA
rnacentral:tRNA from 1 species